rnacentral:rRNA from 1 species
GACGAACGCGGCGGCGUGCUUAACACAUGCAAGUCGAACGAAGAGCGAUGGAAGCUUGCUCCUAUCAAUCUUAGUGGCGAACGGGUGAGAAACGCGUAAUCAACCUGCCCUUCAGAGGGGGACAACAGUUGGAAACGACUGCUAAUACCGCAUACGAUCUAACCUCGGCAUCGAGGAUAGAUGAAAGGUGGCCUCUACAUGUAAGCUAUCACUGAAGGAGGGGAUUGCGUCUGAUUAGCUAGUUGGAGGGGUAACGGCCCACCAAGGCGAUGAUCAGUAGCCGGUCUGAGAGGAUGAACGGCCACAUUGGGACUGAGACACGGCCCAGACUCCUACGGGAGGCAGCAGUGGGGAAUCUUCCGCAAUGGACGAAAGUCUGACGGAGCAACGCCGCGUGAGUGAUGACGGCCUUCGGGUUGUAAAGCUCUGUUAAUCGGGACGAAAGGCCUUCUUGCGAAUAGUAGAAGGAAUG